rnacentral:tRNA from 1 species
GGGAAUGUGGCUUAGUGGUAGAGUGCUUGUCUAGCAUGCAUGAAGCCCUGGGUUUGAUUCCCUCAAUACCA